rnacentral:lncRNA from 1 species
UGUUCCUUAAAAGUUGAUGUGGCACUUUUCUUUGAUAUCGAGACUAUAAAAGUUAUUUAUGUCAGUAAGGAUAUCGAAAGACAUGAGAUGGUAUGAAAAGAAGUAAACAAAAGAUGAUGCAUUGAGACAUCUAGCUGAUGGAGAGGUAUAGCAAAAGUUUAAUAAAAUAUAUUCUGACUUCACACAAAAGAUACGUAAUGUGAGGUUAGACUUGUCAUGC